rnacentral:rRNA from 1 species
UACGUAGGGUGCAAGCGUUGUCCGGAAUUAUUGGGCGUAAAGAGCUCGUAGGCGGUCUGUCACGUCGGCUGUGAAAACCCGGGGCUCAACCUCGGGCCUGCAGUCGAUACGGGCAGACUAGAGUUCGGUAGGGGAGACUGGAAUUCCUGGUGUAGCGGUGAAAUGCGCAGAUAUCAGGAGGAACACCGGUGGCGAAGGCGGGUCUCUGGGCCGAAACUGACGCUGAGGAGCGAAAGCGUGGGGAGCGAACAGG